rnacentral:tmRNA from 1 species
GGGGGCGUCACGGCUUCGACGUGGGUCGCGAAACCGAAGGGGCAUGCCGAGGGGCAGAGCACCUCGUAAAUCCAACUGCAACCAAGUUAGUUGCCAACGACGACAACUACGCACUCGCUGCUUAAAACCCAGUAGGGUGCCGUCUGGGCGGAGCCGUGCUCGUGCGUCCGUUACCAGGCGUCAUAUCUCACGAGAUCGCGCUGAAGCCUGUCCGGGGUGGAUGCGUUAAAACCUUACGGACUCGCUCAGUAUCUUCCCUGCCGGUCGGGUAGUGCUGAGUUAAAAAAAUAGAUUCGGCUAAGCAUGUAGAACCGACGGCGGAGGACUUGCGGACGCGGGUUCGACUCCCGCCGCCUCCACCA